rnacentral:misc_RNA from 1 species
GAUGAAGAACGCAGCGAAAUGCGAUAAGUAAUGUGAAUUGCAGAAUUCAGUGAAUCAUCGAAUCUUUGAGCGCACAUUGCGCCCGCCAGUAUUCUGGCGGGCAUGCCUGUUCGAGCGUCAUUUCAACCAUCAAGCCCCCGGCUUGUGUUGGGGACCUGCGGCUGCCGCAGGCCCUGAAAACCAGUGGCGGGCUCGCUAGUCACUCCGAGCGUAGUAAUACAUCUCGCUCAGGGCGUGCUGCGGGUUCCGGCCGUUAAAAAGCCUUAUUUACCCAAGGUUGACCUCGGAUCAGGUAGGAAGACCCGCUGAACUUAAGCAUAUCAAUAAGCGGAGGA